UACAGAGGGUGCGAGCGUUGUUCGGAAUUAUUGGGCGUAAAGGGCGCGUAGGCGGUGCGGUAAGUCACCUGUGAAAUCUCCUGGCUCAACUGGGAGCUUGCAGGCGAAACUGCCGUGCUGGAGUGUGGGAGAGGUGCGUGGAAUUCCUGGUGUAGCGGUGAAAUGCGUAGAUAUCAGGAGGAACACCGGUGGUGUAGACGGCUUACUGGACCAUAACUGACGCUGAGACACGAAAGCGUGGGUAGCAAACAGG
rnacentral:rRNA from 1 species